CCCUGCAGGGGAAAGUUCUUUUGGAGAACACCGAGCCCCCUCUGCCUGCCUGCUAGGUCAGGGGCAACGCACCGCCGUUCCCGGGGAGGGUCGGGCAGUCCGGAGCGCUGUGGCUCGGGUCAGAGCGGGCAGGUCCAUUACAUAACCGCGAGGCGGCCCCUCACCCCUCGCCAAGCCGCGGCCCGUAGAGCGGAUCCCGGGAUAAAUCCCAUUCACCCGCCGGCCAGAGUCCACGGCGGAGCUGGGGGCGUUGAACUCUGGUGCAUUUCGGAGGCUGAGCGCGGGGAUUUUCCCCGCCACGCUCUCCGCCUCCCGCGCUGCCCGUGGGGCCCCCAGCCCAGCCGGCGCCUCCGCCGCGUCCGCUCCCCGCCCCUCGGGAGCGCGGACCGCGGCGCCUGGGGCCCGGGAAGGGGCCACCGCGCGGGGACGCGGCACGGUGGGUGCACCCCGGGGGCAUGUCCGCACGCCACCGUCCGGGCUGCAGCGGUCCACGCGAGAUGCUGAAGAAAGUACUCUGACUAUGAUGGCAGAAUAUGUCUCUAGACGUUGCCAAAUGGCCCCUCAUGGAUCAUAUUGUCCCUGGUUGAGAACCAUUGGUCUACCUGGAACUGCUACCUUCCUCUCCUGGUUCUUAGCGCCUCUGGGUAUAUACAUAGCAGAGUAUGGCUCUCCAGCCUAACUCAGCACCUUCCAGCUCCAGCCUGACUCAAUCACUUCAUUUUCCCACUGGAGAAGAAGAAGUCAAGUCACUCAUUCGUGUCUGACUCUCUGCGACCCCCGUGGACUGGAGCCUGUCAGGUUCCUCUGUCCAUGGGAUUUUCCAGGCAAGAAUGCAUUACCUGUU
rnacentral:lncRNA from 1 species